ensembl:lncRNA
CCCCAGGCAUGCAUGGUCAUCCGAGUUGGCCAUGCAGGUGGCUUUUCCUGCAAUCCUCAACACGCUGGGAUGUGCCCCAGAGUAGACCCAGACAGGUGCCACCUCUUCGCUCUACCAUGUAUGUGUGAGAGAGUAAUAAAAAGGUCGCUCUGCGGGGGGGGGGAGGGAGGGAGUUCAUCAGCUUUCUAGCACUCUCUCUGUGUGUGUGUGUGCGUUUUGCUCUCUUUUAUGGUCUAGGUUUCCCUUUAUUUGUUUACAUUUGGAAGCUUCUUCUCUAGGUGUUGUUUUAUAAGUUGCAAGGAGCGAGGAAACACACAUGCGCAGUUGGUACAUCAAAGUUACAAUCAAGCUUUAUAGCCAGCACUGCCCCCCCCCCAAAUAUUAGUGAGGUUUGGUGGUCAGAGUACGGGACGAGGGCAGGGAGACCUGGGUUCAAAUCCCCUCAGGCCAGUGAGCCCAGUCCUUCAGCACCCUGACCCCACCUCACGAGGCAGCUGUGAGAAUGCAAAGGUGAGAUCCAGGAAAAAUAUACAUGUCUCCAAUAAAUAGAUCCGUAACAAAACACAGGGAAAUAAAACGCAACCUAUUCUGGCAACUUAAAAACUAACAGAUUCACUUCCGUCUGAGCUUUCAGGGAUUAUCCAUCCAUGGCUUUCAUCUGUGUGUCUUUUCCAUUUUACAGUCCAAAAUUGACUGACUGACAUGGCUCUCCCUUUGAAAACAGGAGACCAAUGAACCCCGCUCGUCCCGUAUCCGACUCUCAACACAAACAAUGACCUCGGACUUGCUUGCAUACCCAGAAGGGCCAGUUCCAGCCUCUUAGCCCUGCUGAGACUCUGCCCCACUGGACCCGGCCAGAGUCGGCUGGCAGGGAUGGGGGCAAGAGACUCCGCCUUUGCAAUCUUGUCCCAUUUCCACUUGCUGAACAUCUGGACGGAGGGAGGAAGCCAGCGGGCUCUCCCAGGCAGGCAGGCGCCUCCAUCCUGUCGCCUCUCCGGCAAGGAAUGGAAGCUGGUUUGGCCACUGCAAGAGAGACUCUGUGAGACAAGAGCAUCAGCCCGUCUGAAUUCGCCUCUUGGAAAAGUGGAAAAGACCCUCCUGCUGAGCCAACGACCCGGGGAUGGCCCAGGAAGGGAGAGGGCAGGAGUCAAGCUGGCCUGUCUGUGGAGAGUGUGUCGCUGGUGGUGUGAAGCGGAAGAAGCACCCAAAGGCAAGGUGGGGGGGCACCCACCUGGUUUUGUGGGUCACCUGGUGCUUGGUCAUGCCGCCAACACUCUCGUUCUUGACCAACACCAGCCCCGCCCUGGCACCAAAACCUGGCACUGGGCAGGAAAAGCCCAUACACACAAACACACAAACACCUGUAAUACUGCUUGUAGCCGGGGGGGGCUUGCUGUUUGAAGCCAAAGAAACCACACAGAACAGUAGGGCCGCUCUGGCACCCCCUGGCAGGGCCCUGAUGGGCACGGACGGAUCCCGGAGGCCCCGUCUUCUCACACGGGCCUUGGUGCGUCUAUGAGCGCUACUUGUGCCACGGCCACCACUUCCUCUGCUCUUCCCCCUCCUGGUCACACCGCCAUGCCGGCUGCCUGCGCCAGGCCCAGCGCCUGCACCAGUUCGUCACUGAGGCCGUUCUUCAAGGUCCGUCUCACUGUGGAAGGAGGCAAAGCACCUUGGGGUCAGGGAGAGGAAGGGGAGCAGGAGGGGCAGGGGGAUGGCAAGGGGGAGGG